rnacentral:rRNA from 1 species
UACGUAGGGGGCGAGCGUUGUCCGGAAUUAUUGGGCGUAAAGGGCGCGCAGGCGGUUCUUUAAGUCCGGCGUAUAAGCGCGGGGCUCAACCCCGUAGAUGCGCCGGAAACUGGGGGACUUGAGUGCGGGAGAGGAAGGCGGAAUUCCCGGUGUAGCGGUGAAAUGCGUAGAGAUCGGGAGGAACACCAGUGGCGAAGGCGGCCUUCUGGACCGUAACUGACGCUGAGGCGCGAAAGCGUGGGGAGCAAACAGG